ensembl:lncRNA
CUCCUUCCUCCUGAAACUACUCAUUAUCCACGCCUCUCUUCCCCCCCCCGGAGACUUCCGACCACCUCCUUCCUCCUGGGUCUGAUGGGCAUUGUCUCUUUAUGUUGUAGAUGUGUGUUCAUCCCACCCUCUAGGCUGGGAGCUCUGCCAGGUGAGGGCCGAUGACUGUCUUAUUCUCAGGUUCCCACUAUCAACUACAGUGUUUGGCAUGCAGAAGCUCAAUAAAUGUUUGUUUCAAUGAAAUGGAAACAGAGCUAUUUAGGGCAUGCUGGUAAUGGAAAUAACCCAGCUUGAAAGAUGCUCUGCGCUAGGUUGCAACCACAGGCAGUUCCAGGCUUACUUAGAAGCCCUGAAUUUACCAUCAGCUUCUAGCCAGGGCUACUAGUUACUGGCUGCUCUGGAGGCCACCCCAUGAUUGCCAUGGGAACCAGCCACUCACAAAGCCUCUGGGGCCCCUGCUCUCUGUGAGCCUUCUCAGAUGCUGCCUUGGGAACUGCACAGGUGCUGGCACCUCCAGCCAGUCAACUCCUUAGAGUGACCUUGGGCCAGAAGAUGGGGGCAGGGCCUCAGUGGGGACAGAACCACCCCACCUACAGCUGCUUUUAUAAAUGGAGAAAUGCAUUCAAAGUUCCAAAGCAACCAGCCAGUGUGUGGGGCCUUCUUGGAAGCCAAAUGAAGAAAAUCUUUCAAGAGAAGAAAGUGGUCAAACCAUGCCAAGUAAAUGUUCCUCUACCAGGAAAAAAAAUCUAAAUAUUACCCCAUCCCCAUUUUCCAACACUAUAAAUUGUGAGGCCAUCACAAAACUUGGUCCACUCAUCACUGCCGUAUCUCUUCAGUCUCUCCAGGAGGAAAUACGACAUCCACGGAAGCCUCUGCCACAUCCAAAGAAGGAAUUAAUCCAUCAGUACUCAUUGAGUGUCUACUAUAGUCACAGCACUCUGCUCCUGGUUGAAAAUAUACAAGAGAAAGAUUAAAAGACCCAGUUCAAUACGUCUGUCUGCGGAAGGGGAAAUGAAGCAUCUGCUUGGUGCCUCCAUUAGGAAGAUGACUUACGACAGGCAGCUGUCAGGCAAGGCGUCUGCAUUCUGACGGAGCCGGCUAGACCAUGGAGCUGAAAGCCUUCAAGAAGCCAAUGAAAGUCCCAGAACCUUAGCCCAGCCCUUCCCCACCCGCUCCCCCAGAAGCAACGUGAACAUGGGUGCCCACAUACACACAACUGUGAGAAUAAUUUCAGCGUUUUCGAGCUUCCUCACCCCCAAGGUCCAGACCCGGAUGCCACAUCUAUCAGUUCUGAGCUGUGUGAUGUGGGUGGAAUUACUCGCUGUCCUCCUUUGUAAGAUGGGCAUGCACGAACCACACCCAGCUCAUGGGUUUGUUCUGAAGAUGACAUGAGCAGCUGGAGCUGGAGCCCUGGGCACGGCACCUUGCCCAUACUGGGAGCUGGUCAUUAUUAGCUGGUAUUCUCAUGCCCAGGCCAGGAGUUUAAGAUUCCCCAGUCAAAGAGAAUAAUAUAGGUACUUUACAGUUGAUCAGUGCCAAUUUUUCUUUGAAAUCUACCUUACAGGUUUUCUGGAGUAAUGGUUCAGAGUAUGGAUUUACUUUAUAAUAUCGAUAAUUUACUUUAAAAUGGUUUGACUUUGAGCAAGGGAACACUGAGUUUGUAUUAGCUGGAGCCUCCAGGGUGGUCAGCUGGUGUUAUAUCACAAAGACGUCAGGUCUUCAGAUCACUGAGGCUUUGAAAAUUAACAUCGUGAGCGUCAGAAGUGAGUUUUACUGGUGAAAUGAGAGGCUUGCUAGUCUACAUGAUGAAUAUCGGACAUAGGCUCUCGAUGGCAAAAUCAAAGGUAUUCGAGUGUGGAGGGCUGGGUAAACAUUGUAAAGGCGCUCCCCACGUGUGCAUGAGGCGCUGUAGGAAUCCAGUGAGGCCUGUGGCCAUGGCCACAGGGACGGCACCGAAUGUUGCUGUUGCUUCUGUGAACUUUUCAGACAAGAGGUAGACCCAUCAAGCUCACAGCCGUGUGAACUGUCCUGGGCUUGCUUUCUCAAGGAAUGUUGGCUUAAUAAAAGGCCUGUGUUUGUGGCCGAACUUGGUCUGAGAAUUGCUUUCUUCAUAACGUGAUAAUGAGGUCUGAGUGCAUAACUAACUCUCACCCACCUUAAACAUCUCAGUGCCGUCCUAUACCCCAAACCCAAGAGCUGUGCUUGGACCUAUUUAAUAAAGUCACAACAGCUUUAAGACAAGAUGGACUCGAAUUUGGAUCCCAUGUAUGCUGCUUCCUAGCUCUUAGACCUUGGGCAAAUGUCCU